CAGCCGCCGCGGUAAUACCGGCGGCCCGAGUGGCGGUCACUAUUAUUGGGCUUAAAGCGUCCGUAGCCGGGUUGGGAAAUCCUCCGGGAAAUCUGGCCGCUUAACGGUCAGAAUGCCGGAGGAUACUCCCAGCCUAGGGAGCGGGAGAGGCCGAGGGGAUUCCCGGAGUAGGGGUGAAAUCCUAUAAUCCCGGGAGGACCACCUGUGGCGAAGGCGCUCGGCUGGAACGCGUCCGACGGUGAGGGACGAAGGCCAGGGGAGCAAACCGGAUUAGAUACCCGGGUAGUCCUGGCUGUAAACGAUGCGGACUUUGUGUCGGACAAGCUAUGAGCUUGUCCGGUGCCGGAGGGAAACCGUUAAGUCCGCCGCCUGGGGAGUACGGCCGCAAGGCUGAAACUUAAAGGAAUUGGCGGG
rnacentral:rRNA from 1 species